rnacentral:rRNA from 1 species
AUUGAACGCUGGCGGCAUGCUUUACACAUGCAAGUCGAACGGCAGCGGGGGCUUCGGCCCGCCGGCGAGUGGCGAACGGGUGAGUAAUGCAUCGGAACGUGCCCAGUCGUGGGGGAUAACACAUCGAAAGAUGUGCUAAUACCGCAUACGUCCUGAGGGAGAAAGCGGGGGAUCUUCGGACCUCGCGCGAUUGGAGCGGCCGAUGUCGGAUUAGCUAGUUGGUGGGGUAAAAGCCCACCAAGGCGACGAUCCGUAGCGGGUCUGAGAGGAUGAUCCGCCACACUGGGACUGAGACACGGCCCAGACUCCUACGGGAGGCAGCAGUGGGGAAUUUUGGACAAUGGGGGCAACCCUGAUCCAGCCAUGCCGCGUGAGUGAA